rnacentral:lncRNA from 1 species
AAGUAAUAUGUCAGUUUCCCUGAGCACUACCUCCUUUUCGCACAGGUGGUCACGGACCUCAGGUUGUGGAUGUGGCAGACCUGCUUCACGCUCUCGGGCCUCCUCUGGGAGCUCAUCAGGACUAUGGGGGAUUGGGCAGAGGUGUCAGCCCAAGACUACCCCGUCGGUCAUUCUGUUCCUGCCGUCCUGUGAGGAGCCCCAAGCCAACAAGGCCACACUGGUGUGUCUCAUGAAUAACUUUAUCCGGGAAUCUUGAUGGUGACCUGGAAGGCAGAUGGUACCCUCAUCACCCAGAGCGUGGAGAAGACCACGCCCUCCAAACAGAGCAACAACAAGUACGUGGCCAGCAGCUACCUGAGCCUGACGCCCGAGCAGUGGAGGUCCCGCAGAAGCUACAGCUGCCAGGUUAUGCAAGAAGGGAGCACCGUGGAGAAGUCAGUGGCCCCUGCAGAAUGUUCAUAGGUUCCAGCCCCCACCCCACCCACAGGGGCCUGGAGCUGCAGGAUCCCAGGGGAGGGGUCUCUCUCUGCAUCCCAAGCCAUUCAGCCCUUCUCGCUGUACCCAGUAAACCCUCAAUAAAUAUCUUUGUCAGCC